rnacentral:lncRNA from 1 species
UGAAUUAACCUCUUGUCUUUUUCAAUGUUUUAUUUCCUUCCCAGGGAUCUGACGGCCAGCCAGGUCCACCAGGAAUUAAAGGCUAUGUCGGAGCACCCGGUCUGCAGGGAGAAAGAGGAGAAAAGGGAACUCGAGGAGACAAGGGAGAACGAGGUCUUGAUGGUCUCCCUGGGAAGCCAGGUGCAGAGGGGAAACAGGGCAUUAAGGGCAGCACAGGCCCACCAGGUGCCAGUGGACCCAGAGGAGAAAAGGUGAGCUGGGCAAGUGCCCAAGGAGCACUUUGAAAGGCAAACUCAUUUCAUUUUGAUUAAACUCUCC